rnacentral:rRNA from 1 species
GAUGAACGCUAGCGGCAGGCUUAACACAUGCAAGUCGAGGGGUAUAGUUCUUCGGAACUAGAGACCGGCGCACGGGUGCGUAACGCGUAUGCAAUCUACCUUUUGCAGAGGGAUAGCCCAGAGAAAUUUGGAUUAAUACCUCAUAGUAUGUGAGAAUGGCAUCAUUUUCACAUUAAAGUCACAACGGCAAAAGAUGAGCAUGCGUCCCAUUAGCUAGUUGGUAAGGUAACGGCUUACCAAGGCAACGAUGGGUAGGGGUCCUGAGAGGGGGACCCCCCGAACGGGUACUGAGACACGGACCAGACUCCUACGGGAGGCAGCAGUGAGGAAUAUUGGACAAUGGGCGCAAGCCUGAUCCAGCCAUGCCGCGUGCAGAAUGACGGUCCUAUGGAUUGUAAACUGCUUUUGUACAGGAAGAAACACUGGUUCGUGAACCAGCUUGACGGUACUGUAAGAAUAAGGAUCGGCUAACUCCGUGCCAGCCGCCGCCGUAAUAC